GACGAACGCUGGCGGCGUGCUUAACACAUGCAAGUCGAACGGAGCGAAUGAAAGCUUGCUUUUAUGAGCUUAGUGGCAAACGGGUGAGUAACACGUAGACAACCUGCCGACAGGAUGGGGACAACAUUCCGAAAGGAAUGCUAAUACCGAAUGAAGCGGAGGAGAGGCAUCUCUCUUCCGUGAAAGAUGGCCUCUAUUUAUAAGCUAUCACCUGUCGAUGGGUCUGCGUCUGAUUAGCUGGUUGGUGAGGUAACGGCUCACCAAGGCGACGAUCAGUAGCCGGUCUGAGAGGAUGAACGGCCACAUUGGGACUGAGACACGGCCCAGACUCCUACGGGAGGCAGCAGUGGGGAAUCUUCCGCAAUGGGCGCAAGCCUGACGGAGCAACGCCGCGUGAGUGAAGAAGGUCUUCGGAUCGUAAAGCUCUGUUGACGGGGACGAACGUGCGAGAGGUGAAUAAACUCUUGCAAGGACGGU
rnacentral:rRNA from 1 species